GUUCGGUUCAGUUUUUUAGUCUGCUGGCUGUUCAUGGUUGUAAAGACACAGAUGGAGAGAGAGAGAGGGAGAGAGAGAGAGAGAGAGAGAGAGAGAGAGAGAGAGAGUUUCUACGCGCCUCCACCUGCUGAUUUUUACAGAGAAUCGUUCAUAAG